rnacentral:misc_RNA from 1 species
AAGUCGUAACAAGGUUUCCGUAGGUGAACCUGCGGAAGGAUCAUUAACACUUUUUUUCUUUAUAGUGUGUUUGGUGUUUUUUCUUUUGAAAAAGCCACUGACCACUAUAAUAUCCUACCCACACUAUGGAUGAAUUAUGUUUCUUUUUCUUUUUUCGAAAGAAAGAAAGAAAGAAAACAUUUUCUUUUUCAUUAUUUUUUUUAACCCCAAACACCACAAAAAAUUAUUACUAUGCAAUAGACUAAUAUUAUACGACAAAAAAAGCUAAGAAACAACUCUUAACAACGGAUAUCUUGGCUCUC